GAUGAACGCUGGCGGCGUGCCUAAUACAUGCAAGUCGAGCGAACAGACGAGGAGCUUGCUCCUCUGACGUUAGCGGCGGACGGGUGAGUAACACGUGGAUAACCUACCUAUAAGACUGGGAUAACUUCGGGAAACCGGAGCUAAUACCGGAUAAUAUAUUGAACCGCAGGGUUCAAUAGUGAAAGACGGUUUUGCUGUCACUUAUAGAUGGAUCCGCGCCGGAUUAGCUAGUUGGUAAGGUAACGGCUUACCAAGGCGACGAUGCGUAGCCGACCUGAGAGGGUGAUCGGCCACACUGGAACUGAGACACGGUCCAGACUCCUACGGGAGGCAGCAGUGGGGAAUCUUCCGCAAUGGGCGAAAGCCUGACGGAGCAACGCCGCGUGAGUGAUGAAGGUCUUCGGAUCGUAAAGCUCUUUUAUUGGGAAAGAAAAAAUGUAUAAGUAACUAUGCACGUCUUGACGGUACCUAAUCAGAAAGCCCCGGCUAACUUCGUG
rnacentral:rRNA from 1 species